UACAGAGGGGGCAAGCGUUGUUCGGAAUCACUGGGCGUAAAGGGAGCGUAGGCGGGUUUCUAAGUCAGGUGUUUAAUCCCGGGGCCCAACCCCGGACAGGCACUUGAAACUGGGAAUCUUGAAUAGUGGAGAGGUCAGUGGAAUUGGGGGUGUAGCGGUGGAAUGCGUAGAGAUCCCCAAGAACACCAGUUGCGAAGGCGGCUGACUGGACACAUAUUGACGCUGAGGCUCGAAAGCAUGGGGAGCAAACAGG
rnacentral:rRNA from 1 species